UCAGUCGACUCCUACGGGGAGGCAGCAGUGGGGGGAAUAUUGCACAAUGGGCGCAAGCCUGAUGCAGCCAUGCCGCGUGUAUGAAGAAGGCCUUCGGGUUGUUAAAGUACUUUCAGCAGUGAGGAAGGUAUCGUAGUUAAUAGCUGCGGUAUUUGACGUUAGCUGCAGAAGAAGCACCGGCUAACUCCGUGCCAGCAGCCGCGGUAAUACGGAGGGUGCGAGCGUUAAUCGGAAUUACUGGGCGUAAAGCGCAUGCAGGUGGUUUGUUAAGUCAGAUGUGAAAGCCCGGGGCUCAACCUCGGAAUUGCAUUUGAAACUGGCAGACUAGAGUACUGUAGAGGGGGGUAGGAAUUUCAGGUGUAGCGGUGAAAUGCGUAGAGAUCUGAAGGAAUACCGGUGGCGAAGGCGGCCCCCUGGACAGAUACUGACACUCAGAUGCGAAAGCGUGGGGAGCAAACAGGAUUAGAUACCCCUGGUAG
rnacentral:rRNA from 1 species